AUUGAACGCUGGCGGCAUGCUUUACACAUGCAAGUCGAACGGUAACAGGCCGCAAGGUGCUGACGAGUGGCGAACGGGUGAGUAAUGCAUCGGAACGUGCCCAGUCGUGGGGGAUAACUGCUCGAAAGAGCAGCUAAUACCGCAUAAGACCGAUGGAUGAAAGCGGGGGACCGUAAGUCCACGCGCGAUUGGAGCGGCCGAUGUCAGAUUAGGUAGUUGGUGGGGUAAAGGCUGACCAAGCCAACGAUCUGUAGCUGGUCUGAGAGGACGACCAGCCACACUGGGACUGAGACACGGCCCAGACUCCUACGGGAGGCAGCAGUGGGGAAUUUUGGACAAUGGGGGCAACCCUGAUCCAGCAAUGCCGCGUGCAGGAAGAAGGCCUUCGGGUUGUAAACUGCUUUUGUACGGAACGAAACGGUCUGGGUUAAUACCCUGGGCUAAUGACGGUACCGUAAGAAUAAGCACCGGCUAACUACGUGCCAGCCGCCGCCGUAAUAC
rnacentral:rRNA from 1 species